GGGAGAGCGGCAAAGGUUGACUCGCCACCGUCCUCACGGCCAGCCCGAUUUAGGAAUUGGAUCUAUUCCUUAAGCAACAUAGCAGAAAAAAUCAGGGUACAUCACAGGAUGAUGCGCUGGACUUUCGGGUUAGAGAUGCUGUAAAAUACUAUGAGAUGUGGAACAGAUCAACAGAGCAAUGUAACCAAUCACACCAAGGAAUAUUGAAAAGGUCAAAAUAGUCAAG